rnacentral:rRNA from 1 species
GAUGAAUGCUGGCGGCGUGCUUAACACAUACAAGUCGAGCGGCAGCGCGAGUAGUUUACUACUUGGCGGCGAGCGGCGGACGGCUGAGUAACGCGUGGGAACAUGCCCUAAAGUGAGGAAUAACUGCCCGAAAGGGUGGCUAAUGCCGCAUAUGAUCUUCGGAUUAAAGGAUUUAUCCGCUUUAGGAGUGGCCUGCGUAUGAUUAGGUAGUUGGUGAGGUAAUGGCUCACCAAGCCGACGAUCAUUAGCUGGUCUGGGAGGAUGACCAGCCAGACUGGAACUGAGACACGGUCCAGACUCCUACGGGAGGCAGCAGUGAGGAAUAUUCCACAAUGGGCGAAAGCCUGAUGGAGCAACGCCGCGUGAAGGAUGAAGGCCCUCGGGUUGUAAACUUCUUUUAUAAGUGAAGAAUAUGACGGUAACUUAUGAAUAAGCACCGGCUAACUACGUGCCAGCCGCCGCGGUAAUAC